rnacentral:rRNA from 1 species
GAAGGYCUUCSGGUUGGAAGCCCUGUCAGUUGUUAGGAAACUUAKGUGGUUGAUAACUAUCCUGCUUGACCCCGCAACAAAGGAAGCACCGGCUAAAUACCUGCCAGCAGCCGCGGUAAUACGUAUGGUGCGAACGUUGUUCGGAAUCACUGGGCCUAAAGAGCGCGUASGCGGUUUGGUUAGUUAGGUGUGAAAUCCCUCGGCUUAACCGGGGAACUGCACCUAAUACUGCCUCACUAGARUGCAGGAGGGGAGAGUGGAAUUCCUGGUGGAGCGGUGAAAUGCGUUSAUAUUCSGAGGAACGCCGGUGGCGAAAGCGACUCUCUGGUCUGCUACUGACGCUGAGGCGCGAAAGCUAGGGGAGCAAACGGGAUUAGAUACCCCGGUAGUCCUAGCCCUAAACGAUGGGCACUAAGUAGAGCCAGGCCUCCACACCUUCUCGGACGUAGCGAAAGUGUUAAGUGCUCCGCCUGGGGAGUAUGGUCCCWAGGSUGAAACUCAAARGAAUUGACUGRRGCUCAARCWGGCGAAGGAGGAUGUGGCUUAAUUCAAGGCUACSCKAAGAACCUUAUCCUGGUCUUGACAUGCUUGGGAAUACCUGUGAAAGCAGGUAGUGCCUUUCGSGGAGUCCUUGCMCAGGUGCUGCAUGGCUGUCUUCARCUCSUGUCGUGAGAUGUCUGGUUAAGUCCCGUAACKAGCKAAMUCCUUAUCUGUAGGUGC